GAAGGGAUAGCUUAGUGGUUGAGUGCCUGCCUAGCAUGCACAAGGUCCUGGAUUCAAUCCCCAGUACCUCCA
rfam:Camelus ferus unplaced genomic scaffold scaffold607, whole genome shotgun sequence.